GAUAAGAUUAGACAUAUUAUGAAAAAAAUACUUUUAUGUAAAUAUUUAAAUAAUACUGUAGAGAUGAUCGUGGACUUCAGGAGGCAUCCUUCACCACAGCAGCCCCUCACGCUGUCCAACUGCCCUGUGUCAACCGUCGGGACCUUCAGGUUCUUGGGAAUUACAGUCUCUUAGGACCGGAAGUGGGAGACCAACAAACAUCAACUCCAUCCUCAAAAAGGCCCAGCAGAGGCUGCACUUCCUGCGGCUUCUGAGGAAGCACGGCCUGCCACAGGAGCUUCUGAGGCAGUUCUACACAGCAGUCGUUGAAUCAGUCCUGUGUUCAUCCAUCACAGUCUGGUUUGGUGCUGGUACAAAAAAAGGACAAACUCUGACUGCAACGGACAAUCAAAACUGCUGAAAGAUUGAUGGUACCCCCCUACCCACCUUUGAGGACUUGCAUCCUGCCAGAAAUAAGACAAAAGCACACAAAAUCCUCUUGGACCCUCCACAUCCUGGUCACCACCUCUUCCAGCUCCUUCCCUCAGGUAGGUGCUAUCGAUCAAUGCAAACUAAAACAAGCAGACAUUCCAAUAGUUUUGCCGUGGUAUUUGGGUGGUAUUUCUUGAGUUCCAGAAAUAUAAAAUAUAAAAUACAUUUUGCACAGUUAUAAAAGGAUGAUAUCAUAGCAUAGCCAAUUCACUUGAAAGAUGUGUUUCCUGCUGAUAUUGUCUUGGUUGUUUGUCACCUUAUGCAAAAUUAUCAUCUACCACGAUGAAAAAAAAAAACUUACUCAAGUUUUCUGUUAUUGUUUAAAACGUCAACUUUCACCUUUUGUGUCGCGACUUUCUGGCCUCUCGGUCGCACCACCAAAGCGGAACGAAACUCAAACCGGAAAUAGUCGAACAUCGUUUCGUGAGCACCCCUAACUUCCUACAUGUUUGUUUGAAAAUUUUGAAAACGUUUUUGCCGAAUUUGCAGGCUAAUUAACUGUAAGAAUUGCAUGGUAACUAUAGUAAAGUGUUUAUCUUUAUUUGGUUAAAUUGGUGUUGUCAAUUAUUACUGCUGAUAAAUAAGAAGACGUGGGUAAACGCGUUUUUUAAGGUGCCGCGGUGGCGUGAAGCAUAGGUUUAGUGCUCUGUUUUGGUGUCCCCUUAAAAGCCGACAUGUCCACGCUUUUCCCCUCCUUGUUUCCCCGCAUCACCGAGUCUCUGUGGUUCAACUUGGACCGACCCUGCGUCGAUGAGACGGAGCUGCAGCAGCAGGAACAGCAGCAUCAAACCUGGUUGCAGAGUAUUGCUGAGAAAGACAACAAUCAACUGCCAAUUGGGAAAACAAUUUUUGAGGGAGGAGGCUAUGAGGAGGAGGAAGAGGAAGAUGAUGAAGACGAGGAAGACAGUGAGGAGGACUCAGAAGAUGAAGAAGACAUGCAGGACAUGGAUGAGAUGAACGAUUACAAUGAGUCACCUGACGAUGGCGAGAUCAAUGAGGUGGACAUGGAAGGACAAGACCAAGAUCAAGACCAAUGGAUGAUUUGACAAAGACUUUGGGGAUUCUACUUGCCCCCAAAACAGGACUGUGCCUGAGAUGCAUCUAUCUACUCUCAUUGCUGUUGACAGCCACCCUGUUACUCCGUAAUUAGCUACCUGCAGAUCAGUACAAUAGCAUUUCUUCCAGUGGUCCAUGAAGACCAAAUCGAGCCUCUCCAAACCAAAGUCAGAGCGCAGGCGUGGGAUCACUUCAUCUGAUGGAGUCACAAUCAGCUCUACCUGAGUGAUGGAAAAAACAACUACAUAUUUCUCACAUCCCAAGACAAUCCUGCCAGGCGGAUGAUUUUCUCAGCGAUGGCAGCAUUCCUUUGGUCCAUUUCAACGCUGUAGAUCCUGGCACCCAGUGGUAGAGCCCGGGCCAUACGCACAGUGCUGUAGCCACAGUGGGUCCCCAACUCCAGGACUGUCAGCGGACUCUGCUCCAUCAGCAGACGGUCCAGGAUCUUUCCUACACAAAAAAAAAGAUGCAGGUCCAAUGUUACUGAUGUACUCCACCUUGCUGCACCACUCAUCAAAAGUGUCCAAGAUGCUGUCAGGGUCCCCGGGGGUGGCAUGUGUGAGAACAUAUCGGUAGGCCCGCUCCUCACGGCUCAGACCAGUGACACAGUCCUUCCAAAGGCGGACCAGGACCGCUCGGUAGAACAACGCGAAGUAGAAACGGUAUCGGAUGAGCAGUGUCAGCAGGAGUGGGAGGAAAGCCAAUGCAAUGGCAGGGGACACCAUCCUAUAGUAUCUGCACACCUGUCAUUAGUAUCAAUCAAUCGUUUAUGUUCAAAAGGGAAGCAAUCAAGUAGCAGUAGUCAGUCAGUGUACUAUCCAAGUGAUUUGAAAGCUUUUACUUUGAGAUAACAUGAGUUCAUAUUGUUCAAAAAGAGGGUAACCCAAACCUGAUCCUGUGUCUUGUAGAGUGUUCUUCCCCCCCCUGUUUGUCUCCUAUUUCUAAUGUAUUUGCCACCCACUGAUAUUUAUCUGGUGUUGAGUGGACAAGACAAGAUGGACAUUAUUUAUUAUAAAACAAUCUGCCUUAAAAUAAUACAGAUUUGUUACGUAGUGUUUAAAAUAUUUAUUUUUGUCAGUCCCACUUAGUUAAGAAGCAAUUUAAUCAUUAUUGUGAUUCCUUCUGUCAUUUCAUAACAGCAACACAAACCAUCAUGUGUGUGAAAAGAUCACUAAUUGACAUAUUACAUUAGGGAUUCAUUGUAACGAUCAGUAAUGGACAUUACGUUAGGGAUUCAUUAUAAAGAGGAAUUAUUUUACCUGAGUCAUGCAAACUUUCAUAGCAAUGAAAAUUGGAAGCUUCUGUACCUAGUCUAUGCAGCAGUAGGCCAUUCUGACAUCAUUCUGUUGUAUAACCUUUACCAGAGGAGAAUGCAUCACAAGUAAAACAGAAACACUCACCUCGUCUCUGGAAAAUACGCUUAGCAUUCGCUAGCUCGGCAUCUGAC